CAAAGUGUAGCUUAACUAAAGCAUCUCGCUUACACCGAGAAAAUACCUGUGAAACCCAGGCCACUCUGA
rnacentral:tRNA from 1 species